rnacentral:rRNA from 1 species
AUGAACGCUGGCGGCGUGCCUAAUACCUGCAAGUCGAGCGAACAGAUAAGGAGCUUGCUCCUUUGACGUUAGCGGCGGACGGGUGAGUAACACGUGGGUAACCUACCUAUAAGACUGGGAUAACUUCGGGAAACCGGAGCUAAUACCGGAUAACAUUUGGCACCGCAUGGUUCUAAAGUGAAAGAUGGUUUUGCUAUCACUUAUAGAUGGACCCGCGCCGUAUUAGCUAGUUGGUAAGGUAACGGCUUACCAAGGCAACGAUACGUAGCCGACCUGAGAGGGUGAUCGGCCACACUGGAACUGAGACACGGUCCAGACUCCUACGGGAGGCAGCAGUAGGGAAUCUUCCGCAAUGGGCGAAAGCCUGACGGAGCAACGCCGCGUGAGUGAUGAAGGGUUUCGGCUCGUAAAACUCUGUGAUUAGGGAAGAACAAAUGUGUAAGUAACUGUGCACGUCUUGACGGUACCUAAUCAGAAAGCCACGGCUAACUACGUG